UACGUAGGGUGCAAGCGUUGUCCGGAAUUAUUGGGCGUAAAGAGCUCGUAGGCGGUCUGUCGCGUCGGAUGUGAAAACCCAGGGCUCAACCCUGGGCCUGCAUUCGAUAUGGGCAGACUAGAGUUCGGUAGGGGAGACUGGAAUUCCUGGUGUAGCGGUGAAAUGCGCAGAUAUCAGGAGGAACACCGGUGGCGAAGGCGGGUCUCUGGGCCGAAACUGACGCUGAGGAGCGAAAGCGUGGGGAGCAAACAGG
rnacentral:rRNA from 1 species